GCAGCGUGACAUCCUGAUAGCAUAUAUAGAGGGUUCAGAACAAUAGGGACAUAGUAGCACCAUGGCGAAGUUGGCAACUACUGUGGCUCUCAUGGCUUUGCUAGCCAUCGGGAUCUCGGCAAUUCCUGGAAAGCGAUUGAGACGCGGCUUCAAUAACAGCGGGUAUGGAACCAGCCAGUAUGGCCGCGGCAGCGACGAGCGAGACAACAGUAGUCAGGAAGGGAAUGGGUGUAGCAGCGAGAAUAGUAGGAGAACUAACCUUGAUUACAGUCGGGAGUUUUCCUUCGACCGAAACGGCCGUCAGAGCGACAACAAUCGAGGGACACGUUCCUUCGCCAAAGCGUCCGCUUCCGCUGCCGCUACCGCGUAUAACCAAAACCAUGGCUCGAAAAAUUUUGUACUAUAGUGAUGGAAAGCUAUUUAAAAUAUUUUGAUUGCAAGUUAAUCAAAAAUAGGGUUAUAAAACGUUUAUGUGAAUGCUAUAAGUGAAGAAUAUAAAGUUAUAUAUAAAGCAUAAAACUACGGCUGGUAAUUCUUAUUUUAGGUUGAGGAUUAAGUACUAUUAUUAUAUUAUUAACUUAAUAAUAAAAUAAUAAUUAUUUUAUUGGAAACUAUGAAUAAAGGUAAUGAGCAUU